rnacentral:tRNA from 1 species
UGCCCCGUAGCUCAGUGGCCCAGAGCAACCUGUCCGCAACAGGUAGGUCGCAGGUUCGAAUCCUGCCGGGGUAG